rnacentral:rRNA from 1 species
UAAAGAUUCAUCGCUGAUAGAUAGGCAUGCGUUCCAUUAGGCAGUUGGCGGGGUAACGGCCCACCAAACCGACGAUGGAUAGGGGUUCUGAGAGGAAGGUCCCCCACAUUGGUACUGAGACACGGACCAAACUCCUACGGGAGGCAGCAGUGAGGAAUAUUGGUCAAUGGGCGUAAGCCUGAACCAGCCAAGUCGCGUGAGGGAUGAAGGUUCUAUGGAUCGUAAACCUCUUUUAUAAGGGAAUAAAGUGGGGGACGUGUCCCGUUUUGUAUGUACCUUAUGAAUAAGGAUCGGCUAACUCCGUGCCAGCAGCCGCGGUAAUACGGAGGAUCCGAGCGUUAUCCGGAUUUAUUGGGUUUAAAGGGUGCGUAGGCGGCCUUUUAAGUCAGCGGUGAAAGUCUGUGGCUCAACCAUAGAAUUGCCGUUGAAACUGGGAGGCUUGAGUAUGUUUGAGGCAGGCGGAAUGCGUGGUGUAGCGGUGAAAUGCUUAGAUAUCACGCAGAACCCCGAUUGCGAAGGCAGCCUGCCAAGCCAUGACUGACGCUGAUGCACGAAAGCGUGGGGAUCAAACAGGAUUAGAUACCCUGGUAGUCCACGCAGUAAACGAUGAUCACUAGCUGUUUGCGAUACACAGUAA